rnacentral:pre_miRNA from 1 species
UUGACAGAAGAUAGAGAGCACAGCUGAACAUACCCAGAAAAGGCCUGUGUAUGAGCAGUUUUGUGCUCUCUGUUCUUCUGUCAA